GACUGGCCGGAGGCUACCUGCAGUCGAGCGGAACGAUGGUAGCUUGCUACCAGGCGUCGAGCGGCGGACGGGUGAGUAAUACUUAGGAAUCUACCUAGUAGUGGGGGAUAGCACGGGGAAACUCGUAUUAAUACCGCAUACGACCUACGGGAGAAAGGGGGCAGUUUACUGCUCUCGCUAUUAGAUGAGCCUAAGUCGGAUUAGCUAGAUGGUGGGGUAAAGGCCUACCAUGGCGACGAUCUGUAGCUGGUCUGAGAGGAUGAUCAGCCACACCGGGACUGAGACACGGCCCGGACUCCUACGGGAGGCAGCAGUGGGGAAUAUUGGACAAUGGGGGAAACCCUGAUCCAGCCAUGCCGCGUGUGUGAAGAAGGCCUUUUGGUUGUAAAGCACUUUAAGCAGUGAAGAAGACUCUUCGGUUAAUACCCGGAGACGAUGACAUUAGCUGCAGAAUAAGCACCGGCUAACUCUGUGCCAGCAGCCGCGGUAAUACAGAGGGUGCAAGCGUUAAUCGGAAUUACUGGGCGUAAAGCGAGCGUAGGUGGCUUGAUAAGUCAGAUGUGAAAUCCCCGGGCUUAACCUGGGAACUGCAUCUGAAACUGUUAGGCUAGAGUAGGUGAGAGGGAAGUAGAAUUUCAGGUGUAGCGGUGAAAUGCGUAGAGAUCUGAAGGAAUACCGAUGGCGAAGGCAGCUUCCUGGCAUCAUACUGACACUGAGGCUCGAAAGCGUGGGUAGCAAACAGGAUUAGAUACCCUGGUAGUCCACGCCGUAAACGAUGUCUACUAGUCGUUGGGUCCCUUGAGGACUUAGUGACGCAGCUAACGCAAUAAGUAGACCGCCUGGGGAGUACGGCCGCAAGGUUAAACUCAAAUGAAUUGACGGGGGCCCGCACAAGCGGUGGGCAUGUGGUUUAAUUCGAUGCACCGCGAAGACCUUACCUGGUCUUGACUAA
rnacentral:rRNA from 1 species